AUUGAACGCUGGCGGCAUGCCUUACACAUGCAAGUCGAAUGGAAUCCUUCGGGAUUUAGUGGCGGACGGGUGAGUAACACGUGAGAAUCUGCACUCAGGAUGGGGACAACAGCGGGAAACUGCUGCUAAUACCCAAUGUGCCGAAAGGUAAAAGAUUUAUCGCCUGAGAAUGAGCUCGCGGCCGAUUAGUUAGUUGGUGGGGUAAUGGCCUACCAAGACGGCGAUCGGUAGCUGGUCUGAGAGGAUGAGCAGCCACACUGGGACUGAGACACGGCCCAGACUCCUACGGGAGGCAGCAGUGGGGAAUUUUCCGCAAUGGGCGCAAGCCUGACGGAGCAAGACCGCGUGGGGGAGGAAGGCUCUUGGGUUGUAAACCCCUUUUCUCAAGGAAGAACAAAAUGACGGUACUUGAGGAAUCAGCCUCGGCUAACUCCGUGCCAGCCGCCGCAGUAA
rnacentral:rRNA from 1 species